rnacentral:rRNA from 1 species
AUUGAACGCUGGCGGCAUGCUUUACACAUGCAAGUCGAACGGCAGCGCGGGCUUCGGCCUGGCGGCGAGUGGCGAACGGGUGAGUAAUGCAUCGGAACGUGCCCAGUAGUGGGGGAAAGCCCGGCGAAAGCCGGAUUAAUACCGCAUACGACCUGAGGGUGAAAGCGGGGGACCGAAAGGCCUCGCGCUAUGGGAGCGGCCGAUGUCGGAUUAGCUAGUUGGUGGGGUAAAGGCUUACCAAGGCGGCGAUCCGUAGCUGGUCUGAGAGGACGACCAGCCACACUGGGACUGAGACACGGCCCAGACUCCUACGGGAGGCAGCAGUGGGGAAUUUUGGACAAUGGAGGCAACCCUGAUCCAGCCAUGCCGCGUGCGGGAAGAAGGCCUUCGGGUUGUAAACCGCUUUUGUUCGGGAAGAAAUCCUCUGGGCUAAUACCCCGGGGGGAUGACGGUACCGGAAGAAUAAGCACCGGCUAACUACGUG